rnacentral:rRNA from 1 species
AGCAGUGAGGAAUAUUGGUCAAUGGGCGAGAGCCUGAACCAGCCAAGUAGCGUGAAGGAUGACUGCCCUAUGGGUUGUAAACUUCUUUUAUAAAGGAAUAAAGUCGGGUAUGCAUACCCGUUUGUAUGUACCUUACGAAUAAGCAUCGGCUAAUUCCGUGCCAGCAGCCGCGGUAAUACGGAAGAUGCGAGCGUUAUCCGGAUUUAUUGGGUUUAAAGGGAGCGUAGAUGGAUGUUUAAGUCAGUUGUGAAAGUUUGCGGCUCAACCGUAAAAUUGCAGUUGAUACUGGAUGUCUUGAGUGCAGUUGAGGCAGGCGGAAUUCGUGGUGUAGCGGUGAAAUGCUUAGAUAUCACGAAGAACUCCGAUUGCGAAGGCAGCCUGCUAGGCUGCAACUGACGCUGAGGCUCGAAAGUGCGGGUAUCAAACAGGAUUAGAUACCCCGGUAG